GAUGAACGCUGGCGGCGUGCCUAAUACAUGCAAGUCGAGCGAACAGACGAGGAGCUUGCUCCUUUGACGUUAGCGGCGGACGGGUGAGUAACACGUGGAUAACCUACCUAUAAGACUGGGAUAACUUCGGGAAACCGGAGCUAAUACCGGAUAACAUGUUGAACCGCAUGGUUCAACAGUGAAAGACGGUCUUGCUGUCACUUAUAGAUGGAUCCGCGCCGCAUUAGCUAGUUGGUAAGGUAACGGCUUACCAAGGCAACGAUGCGUAGCCGACCUGAGAGGGUGAUCGGCCCCACUGGAACUGAGACACGGCCCAGACUCCUACGGGAGGCAGCAGUAGGGAAUCUUCCGCAAUGGGCGAAAGCCUGACGGAGCAACGCCGCGUGAGUGAAGAAGGUCUUCGGAUCGUAAAACUCUGUUAUUAGGGAAGAACAAAUGUGUAAGUAACUAUGCACGUCUUGACGGUACCUAAUCAGAAAGCCACGGCUAACUACGU
rnacentral:rRNA from 1 species